rnacentral:rRNA from 1 species
AAUGCCUAGGAAUCUGCCUGGUAGUGGGGGAUAACGUUCGGAAACGGACGCUAAUACCGCAUACGUCCUACGGGAGAAAGCAGGGGACCUUCGGGCCUUGCGCUAUCAGAUGAGCCUAGGUCGGAUUAGCUAGUUGGUGAGGUAAUGGCUCACCAAGGCGACGAUCCGUAACUGGUCUGAGAGGAUGAUCAGUCACACUGGAACUGAGACACAGUCCAGACUCCUACGGGAGGCAGCAGUGGGGAAUAUUGGACAAUGGGCGAAAGCCUGAUCCAGCCAUGCCGCGUGUGUGAAGAAGGUCUUCGGAUUGUAAAGCACUUUAAGUUGGGAGGAAGGGUUGUAGAUUAAUACUCUGCAAUUUUGACGUUACCGACAGAAUAAGCACCGGCUAACUCUGUGCCAGCAGCCGCGGUAAUACAGAGGGUGCAAGCGUUAAUCGGAAUUACUGGGCGUAAAGCGCGCGUAGGUGGUUUGUUAAGUUGGAUGUGAAAUCCCCGGGCUCAACCUGGGAACUGCAUUCAAAACUGACUGACUAGAGUAUGGUAGAGGGUGGUGGAAUUUCCUGUGUAGCGGUGAAAUGCGUAGAUAUAGGAAGG